rnacentral:piRNA from 1 species
UCCAAAUCUCACACCAGCCUUACCCUGCCA